rnacentral:sRNA from 1 species
CUCCUGCUGGCACUGCUUCCAGCGUAUAUUGCCUGGGGUUUACACGUGCAAUUGAAAUCGAAAUUAGUGCUUUUUUUGGCUUUUUCAUUCCGGCUCCCUGUGAUCAUAGUUGCUGCAUUGCGCAUUUUCUAUCUCCGAAAACAAAACAUGUUGGAUGACCCGUUUUUCUAUGGGGUAGACCCCUCUGUUUGCAUGGAGAUCGAACUGCAUUAUGGCCUUAUCGCUGCGACGAUCGCAUGUCUCAAGCCAUUCGUUAAGUCAUUCAACACGGGAUAUCUGGGUCGCCUAGAAAUCAUUCCGGAUGCUUUCAGAGACACAAUACCUUUACAGAAUUAUAAGCCCCCGAGAAUGUCGGGGGGGAGGGAUAACCCGUCCAUUGGGGAAGGUGGCGCUCUUUCCAUAGAAACGACAUCGGGGAACAUAGAAACUGUAACUGACACCAGAAG